rnacentral:rRNA from 1 species
UACAGAGGUCUCAAGCGUUUGUUCGGAUUCAUUGGGCGUAAAGGGUGCGUAGGCGGCGCGGUAAGUCGGGUGUGAAAUCUCGGAGCUUAACUCCGAAACUGCAUUCGAUACUGCCGUGCUUGAGGACUGGAGAGGAGACUGGAAUUUACGGUGUAGCGAUGAAAUGCGCAGAUAUCAGGAGGAACACCAGCGGCGAAGGCGGCGCUCUGGGCCGGUACUGACGCUGAGGAGCGAAAGCGUGGGUAGCAAACAGG